rnacentral:rRNA from 1 species
AGGAGCGUCCUAGUGGCGAACGGGUGAGUAACGCGUGGGUGACCUGCCCCAAAGUGUGGGAUAACAGUCCGAAAGGAUUGCUAAUACCGCAUGUGGUCGCUGAGUUUAGAAGUUAGCGACUAAAGCAGCAAUGCGCUUUGGGAGGGACCUGCGUCCCAUCAGCUAGUUGGUAAGGUAACGGCUUACCAAGGCGACGACGGGUAGGGGACCUGAGAGGGUGGCCCCCCACAAUGGAACUGAAACACGGUCCAUACACCUACGGGUGGCAGCAGUAGGGAAUAUUGCACAAUGGGCGAAAGCCUGAUGCAGCAACGCCGCGUGCGCGAAGAAGGUCUUCGGAUCGUAAAGCGCUUUUCUGGGAGAUGAGAAAGGACAGUAUCCCAGGAAUAAGUCUCGGCUAACUACGUGCCAGCA